rnacentral:rRNA from 1 species
CGCAAGUCAUUGGGAAUUACAAAACCUAAAGGCGUAAUGAAAGUGAAGGUUCGCUUAUGCGGACUGAGGGAUGAUGGUUCGAUACAAACUCGCAAUCCCGGGGCGUCUUAUUCUCAUUGAGAAGAGGCGCACCCAGAGCGUACACGCUGGGACCCGAAAGAUGGUGAACUAUGCCUGGUCAGGUCGAAGUCAGGGGAAACCCUGAUGGAGGACCGUAGCGAUUCUGACGUGCAAAUCGAUCGUCGGAACUGGG